AUUGAACGCUGGCGGCAGGCCUAACACAUGCAAGUCGAACGAGUGGCGGACGGGUGAGUAAUGUCUGGGAAAAUGCCCGAGGGAGGGGGAUAACUACUGGAAACGGUAGCUAAUAACGCAUACCAUCGGAGGUGCCCAGAUGGGAUUAGAUAGUAGGGGGGGUAACGGCUCACCUGGGCGACGAUCCCUAGCUGGUCUGAGAUGAUGACCAUCCACACUGGAACUGAGACACGGUCCAGAUUCCUACGGGAUGCAGCAGUGGGUAAUAUUGCACAAUGGGCGCAAGCCUGAUGCAGCCAUGCCGCGUGUAUGAAGAAGGCCUUCGGGUUGUAAAGUACUUUCAGCGAGGAGGCGUUACUCGCAGAAGAAGCACCGGCUAACUCCGUGCCAGCAGCCGCGGUAAUAC
rnacentral:rRNA from 1 species